rnacentral:rRNA from 1 species
UACGUAGGCAGCGAGCGUUGUUCGGAGUUACUGGGCGUAAAGAGCGUGUAGGCGGCCAGGUAGGUCUGGUGUGAAAACUCGAGGCUUAACCUUGAGAUGUCAUCGGAAACCAUUUGGCUAGAGUCCGGAAGAGGAAAGUGGAAUUCCUGGUGUAGCGGUGAAAUGCGCAGAUAUCAGGAAGAACACCAAUGGCGAAAGCAGCUUUCUGGGACGGUACUGACGCUGAGACGCGAAAGCGUGGGGAGCGAACAGG